rnacentral:rRNA from 1 species
GAGUUUGAUCGUGGCUCAGAGCGAACGUUGGCGGCGCGCUUAACACAUGCAAGUCGCACGAGAAAAGGGGCAACCCUGAGUAGAGUGGCGCACGGGUGCGUAACACGUAGGCAAUCUUCCCUCGGGAGGGGGAUAACCAUCCGAAAGGAUGGCUAAUACCGCGUAAGACCACGGCUACUCCGGUAGCUGCGGUCAAAGAGGGCCUCUCCAUGGAAGCUCUCACCUGAGGACGAGCCUGCGGCCCAUCAGCUAGUUGGCAGGGUAACGGCCUACCAAGGCGAAGACGGGUAGCUGGUCUGAGAGGAUGAUCAGCCACACUGGCACUGAAACACGGGCCAGACUCCUACGGGAGGCAGCAGUGGGGAAUAUUGGACAAUGGGCGAAAGCCUGAUCCAGCGACGCCGCGUGGGUGAUGAAGGCCUUCGGUUGUAA